rnacentral:lncRNA from 1 species
AUCUUUCAAUCUUCAACAAAUCAAAUUGGGACAAAUUUAAAUGGGUUAAGCUUGAUUUUAUUCCAAUAAUUUAUAUUGAUUGCUGUAAAUGUAAUUUUGGUGAUGGCCACUUUCUUUUUUUUUUGGUAAAACUGGAGCCUGAAUCUUUUAUUACAGCAAUAGAAUGCAAUAGUCAUCUAAUACAAUGAGCUGAGUCUGCUGUCAUAGAUCAACAGCAAAACAGAAACAAAAACAAAGCCAACAACC